CAGGCCCCGACGGAAGCCGAGACUGCGCUUCGUGCGAGGCCCGGGCAGCAUCGGCGGCGUGGUCAGAGCGAGUCUCGGAGAAGAUGUGGUGGCUUCCGUUUGUUGGUGGAGGAGGUGGCAGGCCUCGGCGGGUAACCCAGAGAACACAGCCGAAGUGGAAUGUGGGGACGUCUGCGACACCGGGGACAGAGCAACUGUGGAUGAAGAGGGCUACAUCUGGUUCCUGGGGAGGAGUCAUGACACUAUCAAUGCCUCUGGGUGGUGAAGGCAUUGAUUGUCCUGACCCCACAGUUUCUGUCCCAUGACAAGGACCAGCUGACUAAGGAGCUGCAGCAGCAUGUAAAGUCAGUGACAGCCCCAUGUAAGUACCCGAGGAAGCUAAGUGAGGGCAGAUGGAAGGGGUCAGUUCCCAGUACUCCUGCCCCAUGUCUCCUAGGGUGGCUGUGCAGGGGGAAGCUUGGAG
rnacentral:lncRNA from 1 species